CCGAGCCGCAGUGCUACCAGGGGAAAUGAAAACGUGCUACGUCUUCGGAUGUGGCGGGCGCACUCACGACGGUGUGUCGCAUCUGAAAUUUCUGGGAGGAUUGACAGACUGAGAGCUCUUUCUUGAUUCGGUGGGUGGUGGUGCAUGUCCGCUCUUAGUUGGUGGAGCGAUUUGUCUGGUUUAUUCCGAUAACGAAAGAGACUCUAGCCUAUUAAAUAGGUGCGUGGUUCUCUGCACCUUGCACCCUUCUUAGUGGUACAAGCGGCUCCUAGCCGCACGAAACAGCAAUAACAGGUCUGUGAUGCCCUUAGAAAUCUGGGGCCGCACGCGCGCUACAAUGAAGGAAGCAGCGUGUUUUUAUAUCUGUGUGUUAAAAUGGUACGCUUAGAAAAAAAUUGACUUGAGCAAAUACAGAGGGAUGAUUGAAGUCCAUCAAAUUACCCCCGAGCAAGUGUUCGUCUGCUUAAAUAACAGGGCAUAAAAAA
rfam:Ixodes scapularis strain Wikel colony gcontig_1107728605840, whole genome shotgun sequence.